UUACGGCCACAUCACGUUAAAACACCGGCUCCCGUACGAUCACCGUAAUUAAGCAACGUCAAGCCUAGUCAGUAACUAGGUGGGUGAUCGCUGGGGACUGGAAUAUCAGGUGCCGUAA